rnacentral:rRNA from 1 species
GAUGAACGCUGGCGGCGUGCUUAACACAUGCAAGUCGAACGAAACACCUUAUUUGAUUUUCUUCGGAACUGAAGAUUUGGUGAUUGAGUGGCGGACGGGUGAGUAACGCGUGGGUAACCUGCCCUGUACAGGGGGAUAACAGUCAGAAAUGACUGCUAAUACCGCAUAAGACCACAGCACCGCAUGGUGCAGGGGUAAAAACUCCGGUGGUACAGGAUGGACCCGCGUCUGAUUAGCUGGUAGGUGAGGUAACGGCUCACCAAGGCGACGAUCAGUAGCCGGCUUGAGAGAGUGAACGGCCACAUUGGGACUGAGACACGGCCCAAACUCCUACGGGAGGCAGCAGUGGGGAAUAUUGCACAAUGGGGGAAACCCUGAUGCAGCGACGCCGCGUGAGUGAAGAAGUAUUUCGGUAUGUAAAGCUCUAUCAGCAGGGAAGAAAAUGACGGUACCUGACUAAGAAGCCCCGGCUAACUACGUG